rnacentral:rRNA from 1 species
UACGUAGGGUCCGAGCGUUGUCCGGAGUGACUGGGCGUAAAGCGCGCGCAGGCGGCCUGCGAGGUGUCACGUGAAAGCCCCGUGCUCAACGCGGGAGGGUCGUGGCAAACCGGUAGGCUUGAGGCCGGUAGAGGUGGGUGGAACUCCUGGUGGAGUGGUGAAAUGCGUAGAGAUCAGGAAGAACACCCGUGGCGAAGGCGGCCCACUGGGCCGGACCUGACGCUGAGGCGCGAAGGCGUGGGGAGCGAACGGG